rnacentral:tRNA from 1 species
GGAGAUGUAGUUCAGUUGGUUGAGUGCUUGACUUAUAUACAUGAAGUCUUGAGUUCAGUUCUCAGCACUUCA